AUGGGCGCCAGGCUCUUCUGCUGUGUGACUCUCUGCCUCCUGGGAGCAGGCCUGGUGGAUUCUGGAGUCACCCAGACCCCCAAAUACCUGAUUAAAUCAAGAAAGCAGCAAGCGACUCUGAUGUGUUUCCCUGAAUCUGGACACCGCUCUGUGUACUGGUACCAACAGGCCCUGGGCCAGGGCCCCCAGUUCCUCGUUCAGUAUUUUGAUGGGGAAGAGUAUCAAAAAGGAAACAUAUCGGAUCGAUUCUCAGGAAAACAGUUGAGUGGCUCUCGCUCUGAGCUGAGCUUGACCCCCUUGGAGCUGACGGACUCUGCCCUGUAUCUCUGUGCCAGCAGCCAAGACACAGCCCUGCAUGAUCAGGUGCCUCUGGGACAAAAACACUCCUGCCCCAGCUCAGGAAGUGGUGCGCAGGGUGUCAGCUGCCAGCCUGCCAAGCCCAGUCUCUGGUAGAGCGAUAGACUUUCCCAGACAUUCACUUCUUGGUAUGUUUAAGUGCUCACUACGGUCAUCAAGAUUAGUAUUAUUUUAACUGAUUGUACAUCUGAGGGGUCGUGAGUUGCCCAGAUCUCAUACCUCAUAAGUGUUAUAGUUUGCAAUCCAGCUCAAGACUGUUUUCUAAACCUGCGGUCCCCUUGCUCAAGGUUCUUUCUCUGUACAAGCAAAUUACAUAUACACGUUGUAUUAUGUGUAACAGGAUACAAUUUGGGGCUCUAUGAUAUGAAUUGCUACUCAAUGAAUGGCAGCCACACUUCACAAGGAGGUAUUCCUAUGGGAGGAAUGUCUCAAAUAAAAAGAGAGCCUUUUCCGUUUA